UACAGAGGUCUCAAGCGUUUGUUCGGAUUCAUUGGGCGUAAAGGGUGUGUAGGUGGCGCGCUAAGUCGGGUGUGAAAUUUCGGAGCUUAACUCCGAAACUGCAUUCGAUACUGGCGUGCUUGAGGACUGGAGAGGAGACUGGAAUUCAUGGUGUAGCAGUGAAAAUGCGUAGAGAUCAUGAGGAAGACCAGUGGCGAAGGCGGGUCUCUGGACAGUUCCUGACACUGAGACACGAAGGCCAGGGGAGCAAACGGG
rnacentral:rRNA from 1 species